CCACCCAGAAGCUGGAAAUACUUGACAACUUUCAGUGGUUUUUUUUUUCCCCUUCUAUCAGCAACUCAGAAAUACAGAACCCCGUGAAAAUGAAUGAAAAGCCCUGCUUAUGUAAAGCUGGUAGAGCUUUGCUGCACAUUCAGAUCGUAUUUGAACCAAAGAUUAACAUGAAGAUGAGGUUUUAUUAUUCUUCAUCCCUCCUGCUCUUCCUUGUUUCCCCGUAAUGGAUUUUGAUUUAUUUGAUGAUGGGAUCAGACUUCUCUUUAUCAUCAGGAACAUGUUUUCCACUAAGGAAUGGGAGGGGAUGCAGCAGCUACUCCAAAUUGCAAAUGUCCUAGAAUCAGAACUUACCAGCCAAUUCUGUCAACGUAGCAGAAGGUGGAAAAGAGUACAAUUUAGUCUUCCAUAGAAAUAUUGACUCUGUUGUGCUCACAACACUGCUCAUGCUUUAUGGUACUGUAUAAUCGGAAAGAGACAGACAAAUCAAAGAUGUACAGCAGAAAAAGCAAACUAGCAAUGACUGCUUCAAUCAGCCCUGGUACGAGUGCUGCUGACCCUUCUCCUGCUGCAAGCAGGAAGAUCUUGCAUAAGUACAGAGUGCCUGAGCCAGCAAUCUGCACGGUAACCAACCUUCAGCUCCAGUGAACAGCACCAAGCUCCAGCCUUAGGACACCUGGACUCUAGCAGCUGGUUUCUUUUGUAACUGCCUCCAGCCACACCUUUUGAAAGCACGCUCUUUUUUCUGCCUGCUACAGAAAAACCACAGCACAUUUCUGCAAGAAAUCAAAGGUCUCAAGGAGAGGACUGGCAAACAGCUGCCCUAUCAAGCCAGAGGCCCACACGAGCAAAGCAGAAGGAGGGAGGAGAUGAAGGACAGAGCAUCAGAGGGCAUCAGGAGCAGGAAGUGAAAGCCCUGAAGACAUGGUGGCCGUGAGCCCUUGCUUCCGUUCUCUCCCAUUCCACCUCCACUGCAAAACUGAGAAAUCUGGAAUCAGCUCAGCUCUGUGGCUGUACCUGGAAGUUCAAGUUAGUCUCCAGAAGACGAAACAGAAGAAGAGAAAGAGUGCAAAGCUUCAACAGAUAUUACUGUCCUGCAGUUGUAAGUUAGGGCUGCCCUUUUCAAGGGCAGGAAAAGUACUGCUUCUUGUGCAAGAGCCAGCAUCCCAGGAAGAGCUCCGUCUGAGCCAAAUCAUCACUUGGGUUUGUUACUUACCCUGUGCAUGGUAACCUCUGGCUUAAAACCAAGUUUGCGGCACUUCACUGUAGAAGUGAUGAUGGGCUAAAUUGCUUCCUGAGUGGCACCCACAAAUAAAUAUUAGAGCUGAUCAAACAAAACACAAGGCUCUGAAGUAACAGCAAAAACAGCAAUUAGUUUAAAUUUGUCAUUGAAAACAUAAUUUUUUGGAAGCUGAAAAUAGUUCAGUUACAGCAUUUUGCUGAAAGCCAAAAGAGAGUAUGUGAGCUCUUUUCCAAGAUUCAGCAAGGGAAAAGAAGAUAAAACAGAGGAGACCAUGGAACCAACAUUGCAACCAUUUCCACUCCAGGUCUGUGAUUUCAUUCUGGGUCCCAUAUACCGUCAGGAUAGUGAUAGCACUUCAGCCUCCUGACUGACACGGUAUGAAAGAGCUGGUGAGGGGCUGUGAUGCUAUACAGACAUCAAACUCCCACCUAGAGGGACCCUCUCAUUAGUUUCAUCUUCAUGCUAUGGCACCUGUCCUACCACAAGAACUGGAAACAGGGAGCAAGACUGCACUUGCAGACCAUUUUGAUCACCUCCACUAGGAAAGUAGGGAUGUCUUUUUCUGUAGGAAAUGCUGUGCUAAGUGAAACUUAGAAGUCUGAACAUAUAUGACAAAAACACAGAACACUCUCUAGCAGUAAUCAUAGAAUCAUAGAACGGUUUGGGUUGGAAGGAACCUUAAAAAUUGAGUUCCAACCCCCCUGCUCUGGGCAAGGACGCUUCCC